GCAAAAAUAAAUUCGAUUCGAAAAAGACGGAUCAGUUUACUCUGUUCAAAAGACUCCAUCCUAUCCCAUGAGGGUGAGCUAAUUUUAUUUUUACGUUCAUGUUUGCAAUUAUUUUACGAUUUUUAUCUGUUGCGAAAUCUCGCCAUAAUCAAACAUUUGUUUUUGUAAAGUGGAAACACGAUAUGAUUAUGAAUUCUUUUUGGACGCCAUAUUUUCAUAUUGGUGUUGUUCGUCUCUGAAUAUUGUCAAUAUUCUCGUUUUUAAUUAAGAUCAAAAAUUAUAAAGUUCAAUAAAGCAGGACUCGAGGGAAUGUUUAGGAAGUGCGAAGUUUGUCACAAGGUAUUUUCUACGAAAGGAAAUUUGGUGGCACACAAACGAACACACACUGGAGACAAACCUUAUGAAUGUGAUGUUUGCAACAAAAGAUUUUCACAAUCGAGCCACUUAGCUAGACAUAAGAGAACACACACUGGAGACAGACCUUAUGAAUGUGAUGUUUGCAACAAAAGAUUUUCACGAUCGAGCCACUUAGCUACACAUAAGAGAACACAUACUGGAGACAAACCUUAUGAAUGUGAUGUUUGCAACAAACAAUAUUUGCAGGCAGGUCACUUAACUGAACAUAAGAGAACACAUACUGGAGAGAAACCUUAUGAAUGUGAUGUUUGCAACAAAAGAUUUUCGCAUUCAGGUGCCUUAGUGGUUCAUAAGAGAACACACACUGGAGAAAAAGCUUAUGAGUGUGAUGUUUGCAACAAACGAUUUUCAGGGUCAGGUGCCUUAACUGUACACAAAAGAACACAUACUGGAGACAGACCUUAUGAAUGUGAUGUUUGCAACAAACGCUUUUCGCAAUCAAGCACCUUAAGUAGACAUAAGAAAACACACACUGGAGACAAAUCUUACCAAUGUGACGUUUGCAACAAGAGAUUUUCACAAACGAGCCACUUAGCAAGACAUAAACGAAUGCAUGCUGAAGACAAACCUUAUGG